GUGAAUCAUCGAAUUUUUGAACGCAAAUUGCACUUUCUGGUAUUCCGGAGAGUAUGCCUGUUUGAGGGUCAGUAAAAUCAAAAUCGGUGUUGUUGCUGCUUUUCGUGGUGACGGGUCGGGAUUGAGUUUGCUUACCUUCGUUUAAGAGACUUAAAAUUUUGCAUGAUUUUCGAUCGUAUUUAUUUUU
rnacentral:misc_RNA from 1 species